rnacentral:rRNA from 1 species
UACGGGGGGUGCGAGCGUUGUCCGGAAUCACUGGGCGUAAAGGGCGCGUAGGUGGUUUGAUAAGGGUGUGGUGAAAGUCCGGGGCUCAACCCCGGAUCUGCCGUGCCGACUGUCAAACUCGAGGGCUGUAGAGGCAGACGGAAUUCCGGGUGUAGCGGUGGAAUGCGCAGAUAUCAGGAGGAACACCAAUAGCGAAGGCAGCUCGCUGGGACGGUAUUGACGCUAAGGCGCGAAAGCGUGGGGAGCAAACAGG